rnacentral:rRNA from 1 species
GGUUAAGCGACUAAGCGUACACGGUGGAUGCCCUGGCAGUCAGAGGCGAUGAAGGACGUGCUAAUCUGCGAUAAGCGUCGGUAAGGUGAUAUGAACCGUUAUAACCGGCGAUUUCCGAAUGGGGAAACCCAGUGUGAUUCGUCACACUAUCAUUAACUGAAUCCAUAGGUUAAUGAGGCGAACCGGGGGAACUGAAACAUCUAAGUACCCCGAGGAAAAGAAAUCAACCGAGAUUCCCCCAGUAGCGGCGAGCGAACGGGGAGCAGCCCAGAGCCUGAAUCAGUGUGUGUGUUAGUGGAAGCGUCUGGAAAGGCGUGCGAUACAGGGUGACAGCCCCGUACACAAAAAUGCACAUGCUGUGAGCUCGAUGAGUAGGGCGGGACACGUGGUAUCCUGUCUGAAUAUGGGGGGACCAUCCUCCAAGGCUAAAUACUCCUGACUGACCGAUAGUGAACCAGUACCGUGAGGGAAAGGCGAAAAGAACCCCGGCGAGGGGAGUGAAAAAGAACCUGAAACCGUGUACGUACAAGCAGUGGGAGCACNNUUAAGUUGCAGGGUAUAGACCCGAAACCCGGUGAUCUAGCCAUGGGCAGGUUGAAGGUUGGGUAACACUAACUGGAGGACCGAACCGACUAAUGUUGAAAAAUUAGCGGAUGACUUGUGGCUGGGGGUGAAAGGCCAAUCAAACCGGGAGAUAGCUGGUUCUCCCCGAAAGCUAUUUAGGUAGCGCCUCGUGAAUUCAUCUCCGGGGGUAGAGCACUGUUUCGGCAAGGGGGUCAUCCCGACUUACCAACCCGAUGCAAACUGCGAAUACCGGAGAAUGUUAUCACGGGAGACACACGGCGGGUGCUAACGUCCGUCGUGAAGAGGGAAACAACCCAGACCGCCAGCUAAGGUCCCAAAGUCAUGGUUAAGUGGGAAACGAUGUGGGAAGGCCCAGACAGCCAGGAUGUUGGCUUAGAAGCAGCCAUCAUUUAAAGAAAGCGUAAUAGCUCACUGGUCGAGUCGGCCUGCGCGGAAGAUGUAACGGGGCUAAACCAUGCACCGAAGCUGCGGCAGCGACGCUUAUGCGUUGUUGGGUAGGGGAGCGUUCUGUAAGCCUGCGAAGGUGUGCUGUGAGGCAUGCUGGAGGUAUCAGAAGUGCGAAUGCUGACAUAAGUAACGAUAAAGCGGGUGAAAAGCCCGCUCGCCGGAAGACCAAGGGUUCCUGUCCAACGUUAAUCGGGGCAGGGUGAGUCGACCCCUAAGGCGAGGCCGAAAGGCGUAGUCGAUGGGAAACAGGUUAAUAUUCCUGUACUUGGUGUUACUGCGAAGGGGGGACGGAGAAGGCUAUGUUGGCCGGGCGACGGUUGUCCCGGUUUAAGCGUGUAGGCUGGUUUUCCAGGCAAAUCCGGAAAAUCAAGGCUGAGGCGUGAUGACGAGGCACUACGGUGCUGAAGCAACAAAUGCCCUGCUUCCAGGAAAAGCCUCUAAGCAUCAGGUAACAUCAAAUCGUACCCCAAACCGACACAGGUGGUCAGGUAGAGAAUACCAAGGCGCUUGAGAGAACUCGGGUGAAGGAACUAGGCAAAAUGGUGCCGUAACUUCGGGAGAAGGCACGCUGAUAUGUAGGUGAAGUCCCUCGCGGAUGGAGCUGAAAUCAGUCGAAGAUACCAGCUGGCUGCAACUGUUUAUUAAAAACACAGCACUGUGCAAACACGAAAGUGGACGUAUACGGUGUGACGCCUGCCCGGUGCCGGAAGGUUAAUUGAUGGGGUCAGCGCAAGCGAAGCUCUUGAUCGAAGCCCCGGUAAACGGCGGCCGUAACUAUAACGGUCCUAAGGUAGCGAAAUUCCUUGUCGGGUAAGUUCCGACCUGCACGAAUGGCGUAAUGAUGGCCAGGCUGUCUCCACCCGAGACUCAGUGAAAUUGAACUCGCUGUGAAGAUGCAGUGUACCCGCGGCAAGACGGAAAGACCCCGUGAACCUUUACUAUAGCUUGACACUGAACAUUGAGCCUUGAUGUGUAGGAUAGGUGGGAGGCUUUGAAGUGUGGACGCCAGUCUGCAUGGAGCCGACCUUGAAAUACCACCCUUUAAUGUUUGAUGUUCUAACGUUGACCCGUAAUCCGGGUUGCGGACAGUGUCUGGUGGGUAGUUUGACUGGGGCGGUCUCCUCCUAAAGAGUAACGGAGGAGCACGAAGGUUGGCUAAUCCUGGUCGGACAUCAGGAGGUUAGUGCAAUGGCAUAAGCCAGCUUGACUGCGAGCGUGACGGCGCGAGCAGGUGCGAAAGCAGGUCAUAGUGAUCCGGUGGUUCUGAAUGGAAGGGCCAUCGCUCAACGGAUAAAAGGUACUCCGGGGAUAACAGGCUGAUACCGCCCAAGAGUUCAUAUCGACGGCGGUGUUUGGCACCUCGAUGUCGGCUCAUCACAUCCUGGGGCUGAAGUAGGUCCCAAGGGUAUGGCUGUUCGCCAUUUAAAGUGGUACGCGAGCUGGGUUUAGAACGUCGUGAGACAGUUCGGUCCCUAUCUGCCGUGGGCGCUGGAGAACUGAGGGGGGCUGCUCCUAGUACGAGAGGACCGGAGUGGACGCAUCACUGGUGUUCGGGUUGUCAUGCCAAUGGCACUGCCCGGUAGCUAAAUGCGGAAGAGAUAAGUGCUGAAAGCAUCUAAGCACGAAACUUGCCCCGAGAUGAGUUCUCCCUGACUCCUUGAGAGUCCUGAAGGAACGUUGAAGACGACGACGUUGAUAGGCCGGGUGUGUAAGCGCAGCGAUGCGUUGAGCUAACCGGUACUAAUGAACCGUGAGGCUUAACCUU